rnacentral:rRNA from 1 species
UACGUAGGGUGCAAGCGUUAAUCGGAAUUACUGGGCGUAAAGCGUGCGCAGGCGGUUACGCAAGACAGAUGUGAAAUCCCCGGGCUUAACCUGGGAACCGCAUUUGUGACUGCAUAGCUGGAGUACGGCAGAGGGGGAUGGAAUUCCGCGUGUAGCAGUGAAAUGCGUAGAUAUGCGGAGGAACACCGAUGGCGAAGGCAGUCCCCUGGGCCUGUACUGACGCUCAUGCACGAAAGCGUGGGGAGCAAACAGG